AGAGUUUGAUCCUGGCUCAGAGCGAACGCUGGCGGCAGGCUUAACACAUGCAAGUCGAGCGGGCGUAGCAAUACGUCAGCGGCAGACGGGUGAGUAACGCGUGGGAACGUACCUUUUGGUUCGGAACAACACAGGGAAACUUGUGCUAAUACCGGAUAAGCCCUUACGGGGAAAGAUUUAUCGCCGAAAGAUCGGCCCGCGUCUGAUUAGCUAGUUGGUGAGGUAAUGGCUCACCAAGGCGACGAUCAGUAGCUGGUCUGAGAGGAUGAUCAGCCACAUUGGGACUGAGACACGGCCCAAACUCCUACGGGAGGCAGCAGUGGGGAAUAUUGGACAAUGGGCGCAAGCCUGAUCCAGCCAUGCCGCGUGAGUGAUGAAGGCCCUAGGGUUGUAAAGCUCUUUUGUGCGGGAAGAUAAUGACGGUACCGCAAGAAUAAGCCCCGGCUAACUUCGUGCCAGCAGCCGCGGUAAUACGAAGGGGGCUAGCGUUGCUCGGAAUCACUGGGCGUAAAGGGUGCGUAGGCGGGUCUUUAAGUC
rnacentral:rRNA from 1 species